rfam:Oryza rufipogon genomic scaffold, chr11
GGAUGCGAUCAUACUAGCAGUAAAGCACCAGAUUCCAUCAGAACUCUGAAGUUAAGCGUGCCUGGGCGAGAGUAGUACUAGGAUGGGUGACCUCCUGGGAAGUCCUCGUGUUGCAUCCC